rnacentral:rRNA from 1 species
UACAGAGGUCUCAAGCGUUGUUCGGAUUCAUUGGGCGUAAAGGGUGCGUAGGCGGCGUGGUAAGUCGGAUGUGAAAUCUCGGAGCUUAACUCCGAAACUGCAUUCGAUACUGCCGUGCUUUGAGGACUGGAGAGGAGACUGGAAUUUACGGUGUAGCGGUGAAAUGCGUAGAUAUCGUAAGGAAGACCAGUGGCGAAGGCGGGUCUCUGGACAGUUCCUGACGUGAGGCACGAAGGCCAGGGGAGCAAACGGG